UACGAGUGCCCCAAGCGUUAUCCGGAAUUACUGGGUGUAAAGGGUGCGUAGGCGGCGGUGUUAGUCUUUUGUCAAAGCUCCGAGCUCAACUUGGAAAAGGCAAAAGAAACGGCACUGCUAGAGAGCGUGAGAGGUUUGCGGAACUAAUGGUGUAGGGGUGAAAUCCGUUGAUAUCAUUGGGAACACCGAAUGCGAAGGCAGCAACUGGCACGUUUCUGACGCUCAAGCACGAAAGCGUGGGGUAGCGA
rnacentral:rRNA from 1 species